rnacentral:rRNA from 1 species
GGAUCAUUACUACAGGAGUUGAGAGACUCUAAACCAACUGUGAACCUAUCUAUCUUGCUCCGGCGGGCCGCCUCGCAGCGCCCGGCCCCUCCGGGGGUGCCCGCCGGAGGUACCAAACACUGCAGUAAACGUGCCUCUGAGUGGACUACAAACAAGUCAAAACUUUCAACAACGGAUCUCUUGGCUCUGGCAUCGAUGAAGAACGCAGCGAAAUGCGAUAAGUAAUGUGAAUUGCAGAAUUCAGUGAAUCAUCGAAUCUUUGAACGCACAUUGCGCCUGCCAGCACUCUGGCAGGCAUGCCUGUCCGAGCGUCAUUUCAACCCUCAGGCCCAGCCUGGUGUUGGGGCGCCGCAGCCUCGCUGCGGGCCCCCAAAGUCAUCGGCGUGCCCGCCGCGACUCCGAGCGCAGUAGAACACACUCGCCCUGGACGCCGCAGCAGGUCCACCGCCGCAAGCCCUGGCGGCACCCCCCGGGGAGCCCCCAGACACCCAAGGUUGACCUCGGAUCAGGUAGGAAUACCCGCUGAACUUAAGCAUAUCAAUAAGCGGAGGAAAAGAAACCAACAGGGAUUGCCCCAGUAACGGCGAGUGAAGCGGCAACAGCUCAAAUUUGAAAUCUGGCGCCCGGCGCCCGAGUUGUAAUUUGGAGAGGAUGCUUUUGGCGCGGCGCCCACCGAGUUCCCUGGAACGGGACGCCAUAGAGGGUGAGAGCCCCGUAUGGUGGGACGCCUAGCCUCUGUAAAGCUCCUUCGACGAGUCGAGUAGUUUGGGAAUGCUGCUCUAAAUGGGAGGUAAAUUCCUUCUAAAGCUAAAUACCGGCCAGAGACCGAUAGCGCACAAGUAGAGUGAUCGAAAGAUGAAAAGCACUUUGAAAAGAGGGUUAAACAGCACGUGAAAUUGUUGAAAGGGAAGCGCUAGUGACCAGACUUGCGCCCAGGGGAUCAUCCGGCGUUCUCGCCGGUGCACUCCCCUGGGCUCAGGCCAGCAUCGGCUCGCCCGGGAGGACAAGGGCGGUGGGAACGUGGCUCUCCCCGGAGAGUGUUAUAGCCCACCGCGCGAUACCCCCAGGCGGGCCGAGGACCGCG